GAGUUUGAUCAUGGCUCAGAUUGAACGCUGGCGGCAUGCUUUACACAUGCAAGUCGAACGGCAGCGCGAGCUUCGGCCUGGCGGCGAGUGGCGAACGGGUGAGUAAUAUAUCGGAACGUACCCAAGAGUGGGGGAUAACGUAGCGAAAGUUACGCUAAUACCGCAUACGAUCUAAGGAUGAAAGCAGGGGAUCGCAAGACCUUGUGCUCCUGGAGCGGCCGAUAUCUGAUUAGCUAGUUGGUGAGGUAAAGGCUCACCAAGGCAACGAUCAGUAGCUGGUCUGAGAGGACGACCAGCCACACUGGAACUGAGACACGGUCCAGACUCCUACGGGAGGCAGCAGUGGGGAAUUUUGGACAAUGGGGGCAACCCUGAUCCAGCAAUGCCGCGUGAGUGAAGAAGGCCUUCGGUUGUAAGCU
rnacentral:rRNA from 1 species